rnacentral:lncRNA from 1 species
GCCAAUCAGGACCGAUGCUCACAGUGACAACACUCACGCUGAGGAUAUUGUGGGUUAGAAGAGGAGCAUGGGUAAAAUAGAGGAGAGCAGGAGAAGUAAGAGAUGAGAUGAGAGGAGAGGGGAGAGGAGGAGGAGGAGGAGGAAGAGGAGAGGAGGAGGAGGAGGAGGAGGAGAGGAAUGAGAGGAGUACAAGGAAGCGGAAAACGGACGCACGUCACGAGCUGAUGGUGACAAACCGGUGCAAUCUCACAUUAACACCUCAACAAUCAAAGAUCUUUGAGUUGAUCAAAUUAUUGUGCACUCUAGCCUACAGUUUGUUUAGAGGAUUUACAGUUUGUUUAGAGGUUUACAGUCUGUUUAGAGGUUUACAGUUUAUUUAGAGGUUUACAGUUUGUUUAGAGGUUUACAGUUUGUUUAGAGGAUUACAGUUUGUUUAGAGGAUUUACAGUUUGUUUAGAGGAUAACAGUUUUAGAGGAUUUACAGUUUGUUUAGAGGAUUACAGUUUGUUUAGAGGAUUACAGUUUGUUUAGAGGAUUUACAGUUUGUUUAGAGGAUUACAGUUUGUUUAGAGGAUUUACAGUUUGUUUAGAGGUUUACAGUUUGUUUACAGUUUGUUUAGAGGUUUACAGUUUGUUUACAGUUUGUUUAGAGGUUUACAGUUUGUUUACAGUUUGUUUAGAGGAUUUACAGUUUGUUUAGAGGAUUUACAGUUUGUUUAGAGGUUUACAGUCUGUUUAGAGGUUUACAGUUUGUUUAGAGGAUUUACAGUUUGUUUACAGUUUGUUUAGAGGUUUACAGUCUGUUUAGAGGGUUUACAGUUUGUUUAGAGGGUUACAGUUUGUUUAGAGGUUUACAGUUUGACAGCGCCACUUUUUCUACAGACAAACAUUAGUCACAGGAUUGCAAAGGGAAGGUCAGAUGCAGAUAAGGGGUCUAUGAG